AGCAUACUCCCUCCGUCCGGAAAAGCUUGUCCCAAGCUUGUUCCUCAAAUGGAUGUAUCUAGCACCAAGUUGGUGCUAGAUACAUCCAUUUGAGGGACAAGUUUUUUCGGACGGAGGGAGUACUAA
rnacentral:pre_miRNA from 1 species